AUGUCUCUCUCUGUCUGACUGCUAUGUGUCUCUCUCUGUCUGACUGCUAUGUGUCUCUCUCUGUCUGACUGCUAUGUGUCUCUCUCUGUCUGACUGCUAUGUGUCUCUCUCUGUCUGACUGCUAUGUGUCUCUCUCUGUCUGACUGCUAUGUGUCUGUGUCUUGGAGAAUCUCCCCUAGUUUAUCCUACAAUACUGGACAUGAAUACUAUUUGAAGUGGAGGUUAAGGCUGACACACCAGGAAGACAGUGGAGGUUAAGGCUGACACACCAGGAAGACAGUGGAGGUUAAGGCUGAGACACCAGGAAGACAGUGGAGGUUAAGGCUGAGACACCAGGAAGACAGUGGAGGUUAAGGCUGAGACACCAGGAAGACAGUGGAGGUUAAGGCUGACACACCAGGAAGACAGUGGAGGUUAAGGCUGAGACACCAGGAAGACAGUGGAGGUUAAGGCUGACACACCAGGAAGACAGUGGAGGUUAAGGCUGACACACCAGGAAGACAGUGGAGGUUAAGGCUGAGACACCAGGAAGACAGUGGAGGUUAAGGCUGACACACCAGGAAGACAGUGGAGGUUAAGGCUGAGACACCAGGAAGACAGUGGAGGUUAAGGCUGACACACCAGGAAGACAGUGGAGGUUAAGGCUGACACACCAGGAAGACAGUGGAGGUUAAGGCUGAGACACCAGGAAGACAGUGGAGGUUAAGGCUGACACACCAGGAAGACAGUGGAGGUUAAGGCUGAGACACCGGGAAGACAGUGGAGGUUAAGGCUGACACACCGGGAAGACAGUGGAGGUUAAGGCUGAGACACCGGGAAGACAGUGGAGGUUAAGGCUGACACACCGGGAAGACAGUGGAGGUUAAGGCUGAGACACCGGGAAGACAGUGGAGGUUAAGGCUGACACACCGGGAAGACAGUGGAGGUUAAGGCUGAGACACCAGGAAGACAGUGGAGGUUAAGGCUGAGACACCGGGAAGACAGUGGAGGUUAAGGCUGAGACACCAGGAAGACAGUGGAGGUUAAGGCUGAGACACCAGGAAGACAGUGGAGGUUAAGGCUGAGACACCGGGAAGACAGUGGAGGUUAAGGCUGAGACACCGGGAAGACAGUGGAGGUUAAGGCUGACACACCAGGAAGACAGUGGAGGUUAAGGCUGACACACCAGGAAGACAGUGGAGGUUAAGGCUGACACACCAGGAAGACGUGGAGGUUGAGGAGAGAGAUCUCUUACUGUCCCGUGGUGGGAUGGAGAUCUCUUACUGUCCCGUGGUGGGAUGGAGAUCUCUUACUGUCCCGCGGUGGGAUGGAGAUCUCUUACUGUCCCGCGGUGGGAUGGAGAUCUCUUACUGUCCCGCGGUGUGAUGGAGAUCUCUUACUGUCCCGCGGUGUGAUGGAGAUCUCUUACUGUC